CGCCUGGUGGAUGGCUCGGCUCGGGCGCCGAGGAAGGGGGUGGCAAGCUGCCAUAAGCCCCGGGGAGCCGCAUGCGGGCUUAGAUCCGGGGAUCCCCGAAUGGCAAUGCCGCCCUUAAUGGGCGCUCCGAUGAGGAGCGGGAACCCCCCGAACUGAAGCAUCUCAGUAGGGGGAGGAAGAGAAAUCAAAAAGAGAUGCCCUGAGUACCGGCGAGGGAAAGGGGCAGAGCCCAAACCGAACGUCCCCUUGUAAAAGGGGACGGAUGUGGUGUUGUGGGGCAGCCUAAUGCCUCCACCACGGGGAAGCCGAAGUGAGCUGGAACGCUCCGCCAUAGAGGGUGAGAGCCCCGUAGGCGUAACCUGUGGUGGAGGUUGGCUGUUCCCUGAGUACCGCGGGUUGGAAUACCCGUGGGAACUGGGGGUCACCGACCUCCAAGGCUAAACACGUCCCGAGACCGAUAGCGCACUUAGUACCGUGAGGGAAAGCUGAAAAGCACCGUUGGCGCGGGGUGAAAAGAGCCUGAAACCAGGCGGUCAUAGGAGCGGCAGCCCUAAAAGGAUGAAUGCCCCGAAGGAAAAUGCCGCAAGGCAUGAGUACGAGGGGCUGGACUGGGGUUGCCCCGUACGUCUUGAAACACGCGCCGGGGAGUUCACUGGCGUGGCGAGCCUAAGGGCUGAGGCCCGGAGGCGGAGCGAAAGCGAAUGCCCCGCAGCUUCGGCGAGGGGGCUGCCUCUGAAAGGGGGCUUAGUCACGCCAGUGAGACCAGAAGCCGGGCGAUCUACUCCUGGGCAGGGCGAAGCCGGGCCGCAAGCCCGGUGGAGGCCCGAUAGGGAUGGUGAGGUGCAAAUCCCUCCCGUGACCUGGGAGUAGGGGCAAAAGACCAAUCUAGCCCGGCAAUAGCUGGUUCCCACCGAAGCCUCCCGCAGGAGGAUCUCCGUGGAGGGAGAGGGCGCGGUAGGGCAACGAUUGGGCGGCAAGGGGAUCUAGGUCCCCACCGCCCUUUCGAACCCCGAAUGCGCCCUCCCCGUAGAAGCGGGGAGCCGGGCGGCAGGGGGAAGCUCUGUCGCCGAGAGGGGAACAACCCAGACUGGGGUUAAGGCCCCCAAGUCCCGGUUAAGUGCCGAAAUCCGAAGGGAGUCUCCCUCCUAAGACAGCGGGGAGGUAGGCUCAGAAGCAGCCAUCCUUUAAAGAGUGCGUAACAGCUCCCCCGCCGAGGAGGGAGGCCCCGAAAAUGAGUCGGGGCUGAAACCGGGCGCCGAUACCCCAGUGGCGCAUCCGGAUGGAUGCGCUAGGUAGGUGGGCGCGCACACUGGGCAGAAGUCGGGGCGUGAGCUCCGAUGGACCGGUGUGCGUCGCGGAUCCCGGCGGUAGUAGCAGCAAAGCGGGGUGAGAAUCCCCGCGGCCGAAAGCGCCAGGGUUCGCCGGCAAUGCUUCGUCAGCCGGCGGUAAGCCGAUCCUAAGGCACCUCCCAACUGGACGGUGCCGAAAGGGAAGCCGGUUAAUAUUCCGGCGCCACCGGGAUAGGUGCGGCAACGCAAGCCCCUCUCCUGACGCCUCGGGCUAGGCAGAGAGGGGGCCAAAAGCGACCCUCCCAAGCACUGAAGGCCGUGGAGUACCGUAAAGGUGAGAAGCGGCUGAAGGUGUGAUGGGGAGCCCUUUUGGGCUCUUCUGCUGAUGCCUGGGGCCCAUGAAAAGGGAGAGGGGAACGAUUCCCGGUGAUCGUACCGAGAACCGACACUGGUGCGCUGGCUGAGAAGGCCAAGGCCUGUCGGCCCUAACGCGGGAGAGGGAACUCGGCAAACUGGCCCCGUAACUUCGGAAGAAGGGGUGCCUGCGUCUCUCCCUUCGGGGGGAUUCGCAGGUCGCAGUGACAAGGGGUGCCCGACUGUUUAACAAAAACAUAGUUCCCCGCAAGCCCGAAAGGGUUUGUACGGGGGAUGAGGCCUGGCCAAUGCCGGUACCUGAACCCCGGGUUCAACCGGGAGAAGGGCCGGUGAAAGCCGGGAGUAACUCUGACUCUCUUAACGGUCGGUCUCCGCUCUCUAUAAGGGGGCCGCCGGGGGAAAGGUAGCCAUAUGCCUUGCCGAAUAAAAAUCGGCGUGCAUGAAUGGCUUAACGAGGUGCCCGCUGUCCCCUCCCGCAUGCCGGUGAACCCGCAUCCCGGUGUACAGACCGGGACGCCCCAGUGGGGAGAGAAGACCCUGUGGAGCUUCACUGCAGCCUGGCCUUGGGAUAUAUCUGCGGAUGCAGAGCGUAGGUGGGAGCGAUGUGACAGCCCUCGAGGGGGCUGUUGAAGCGGCCCUGGAACACCACCCUUCCGCGGGUGUAUCCCUAACCCGAAAGGGGACAGGGCUAGGUGGGCAGUUUGGCUGGGGUGGUACGCCCCUGCAAAGAUAUCAGGGGCGCCCAAAGGCAGGCUCAGGUGGGACAGAAACCCACCGUAGAGGGCAAGGCCAAAAGCCUGCCUGACUGGAUCCCUAAACGCGUGGGAUCCAGAGGUGAAAGCCGGGCCUAGCGAACACUCGAGCCCUCUCGGUGAGGGCCGGGUACGACAGAAAAGUUACCCCAGGGGUAACGGAGCCGUGGCGGGUGAGAGUCCCCAUCGGCCCCGCCGCUUGCUUCCCCGACGUCGACACUGCCCAUCCUGGGGGUGCAGCAGCCCCCAAGGGUAGGGAUGCUCGCCCAUUAAAGGGGAACGUGAGUUGGGUUCAGAACGUCGCGAGCCAGUUCGGUUUCUACCUGCUGGGGCUGCAUGGCCGCCUGAGGGGAAGGGACCCUAAGUACGAAAGGAACGGGGUGCCGGGGCCUCUGGUGUACCGGUCGUCCUCCAGGGCGUCGCCGGGUAGCCACGCCCCAACCGGUAAGGGCUGAAAGCAUCUAAGCCCGAAACGGGCCCCGAAAAUAGGCGGCCGUCCCGGUAAGGGUAAGGGCGCGGGUAGAAGACCCGUUUGAUGGGGUGGGGGUGUAAGGCGGGAGCUUAUGCGGACCG
rnacentral:rRNA from 2 species